AUACAUGACAUUAGUUACUUACAUAUAACUUAUAAUAUAUUUACAUUGGUCACAUUGUUUAAAGGACGACAGGCUGAGCUGGAUGAGGCUUUAGUGAUGAUUGUGCAGGACUGCCAGCCAUUUUCUGUGGUUGAGGAUAAAGGAUUUAGAGCAUUUGUUCACAAAUUGGACCUAACAUAUGCUCUUCCCACAAGACAGGCACUGCGAGGCAUGGUGGACCAAAAAUGUAAAGAGGACAAAGCCAGAGCAGAGCUAGAGAAAACUGUGGCAGUCACUUUAACUGCCAAAGAAUGCCUAAUUGAUGAAUGGGGCCUAACUAACAAAAUCCACUGUCUUGUCACUGACAAUGCUGCAAAUAUGGCAGCUUGUGCAAAAUUACUUAAACUAUGCAACAUUCCUUGUUUUGCCCAUAGUUUAAAUUUAGUGGCAAAGAAAGCACUUGAGGCAACACCAGAAGUCUCAGAGAUCCGUUUGAGAGCUAGAAAGGUUGUGGCAUUCUUCAAAACAAGCACAAGGGCCAAAGAGAAACUGACUGAGGUACAGUAACAACUUAACAAACCACAACAUUAACUAAUUCAAGAAGUUGACACAAGGUGGAAUUCUACUUUUCAAAUGUACUACUAUGUACUACUCAAAUGAAUUACUUGAGCAGCGUGAGCCAGUUGGAGCAGCCCUGGCGUCACUAACCACAGAUGUGCUACCACUGAAUUGUGCAGAGUACGAGGCAGUGGCAGAAUGUCUUGAAGUUCUGGGACCCCUAUCUCUGGCUACUACAGAGCUUUCAGUUGAGAAGAAGGUGUCUGCAUCUAAACUGAGCCAGAGCCUGCUGCAGUUUUUAAUGGCAAGGUGCAAUGCGGAAAACAUCCGGGUCCUGGCAGUGGCCACUAUUUUGGACCCAAGGUUCAAAACACUAGCAUUUGGCAACCAGACAAAAGCACAAGAGGUCGUGUCUCGCCUCAUAGCUGAAUGUGCAGGACUGAUGGCAAGGCGCUUAGUACCCACACCCACAACAUCACAGGUAAUUGAACUUCAUUUUCUCUGCUUGUAUAUGGCUUUAUAAAAGUCAUGCGCCAGUUUCCAUUUUUUUACAGUCCACAAUGGAGGAAGCCCCUGGACCCUCAACCCAACAGGCUGACCCUGACAGUCUGUGGGCCCUUCUGGACUGCAGAGUUGUCUUGCAGGUGCAACACAGAGUGUCCAUAAUGUGACAGCUGACGCAACUGUGGAAGUACAGUGUUACAUGUCAGAGCCCUACCUCUCCAGAGGAGAGGACCCUUUGAAAUUUUGGAACUCUAGGGCAGCCAUUCAUCCCCAUCUUGCAG